GGAUUAGAUACCCUGGUAGUCCACGCAGUAAACGAUGAGUACUAGCUUUUGGAUUCGGUGUUAAGGAUUUAGAAGCGAAGCUAACGCAUUAAGUACUCCGCCUGGGGAUUACGGCCGCAAGGCUAAAACUCAAAGGAAUUGACGGGGACCCGCACAAGCGGUGGAGCAUGUGGUUUAAUUCGAUGCAACGCGAAGAACCUUACCUACCCUUGACAUACCAAGAAUCCUGCAGAGAUGCGGGAGUGCCUUCGGGAAUUUGGAUACAGGUGCUGCAUGGCUGUCGUCAGCUCGUGCCG
rnacentral:rRNA from 1 species